rnacentral:rRNA from 1 species
UACAGAGGUCCCGAGCGUUGUUCGGAUUCACUGGGCGUAAAGGGUGCGCAGGCGGCUUGGCAAGUUUGAUGUGAAAGCUCAGGGCUUAACCCUGAAAUGGCAUUGAAUACUGUUGAGCUGGAGGUUUGGAGGGGGGACUGGAAUUCUUGGUGUAGCAGUGAAAUGCGCAGAUAUCAAGAGGAACACCAGUGGCGAAGGCGAGUCCCUGGACAACACCUGACACUGAGGCACGAAAGCUAGGGGAGCAAACAGG